rnacentral:misc_RNA from 1 species
AAGUCGUAACAAGGUUUCCGUAGGUGAACCUGCGGAAGGAUCAUUAAUGAUGUUUAUUUUUCUAUGUUGGGAAAUUGUCUGCUGAUGUGGGGAUAUUUUUGUCCCCGCGCUAGUCAACGUGAUCUUUAUUCUAGUCUGACUUUUAUAUUUAAUUUAAAAGACAACUUUUAGCAACGGAUCUCUUGGCUCUC